rnacentral:rRNA from 1 species
AACGAACGCUGGCGGCAUGCCUAACACAUGCAAGUCGAACGAUGCCUUCGGGUCUAGUGUCGCACGGGUGCGUAACGGGUGAGAACCUGCGCUUAGGUUGGGAAUAACGCCCCGAAAUGGGGGCUAAUACCGGGUAAUUGCUGCUGACCAGAGAUUUAUCGGCUUUGUAUGGGCCCGCGUUGGAUUAGCUCGUUGUUAGGGUAAAAGCCUACCACGGGGACGAUCCGUAUCUGGUCUGAGAGGAUGAUCAGCCACACUGGGACGGAGACACGGCCCAGACUCCUACGGGAGGCAGCAGUGGGGCAUAUUGCACAAUGGGCGCAAGACUGAUCCAGCACUGCCGCGUGAGUGAUGCAGGCCUUAGGGUUGUAAAGCUCUUUUGCCUGGGAUGAUAAUGACAGUACCGGGAGAAUAAGCUCCGGCUAACUCCGUG